UAAUCCAUCUUCUUAAAGUGUAAAAAUCAAUGGUUUUUAGUUUGUACAGAAUUGCAUGUCUAUCUCUAUAAUCAAUUUUAGGGCAUGUUUAUAACACCAAAGGGAAAUCUGUACCUGUUAGCAGUCAUGACCUGUUCUUCCCCACUCUUCCUAGCCCUUGGGAACUACUAAUCCGUUUUCUGUCUCUGUAUGUUUGCCUAUUCUGGACAAUUCAGUUAUAGUGCGUGGAAUCAUAGAAUAUGUGCUCUCUUGUGACUGGUUUCUUUUACUUUGGCAUCCUGUUAUCAAGGUUCAUCUGUGGUGUGCCAUGUAUCACUACUCCAUUCUUUUUAUUACUGUAAAUAAUAUUUUAUCAUAAGGAUGUACCACAUUUUAUCCAUUCUGCACACGUUUUCAGAGAACACUAUUUUUUUAAUGAGGUUUGUGUUGAUCAAUUUCUUGUUGGAAAUACAGUUGGCAACUUCUUUCAGAAAAUAAUCACCUAACCUUGCUGGGUUAAAAAAGUAGAACAGCCUUGCUGAGUUGAAAAAAGGAAAUUAGUACCUCUGUUGCUUCUAAUUAUAACUUAAAAAAAAGAAAUUUCUCCCUAACAUUUGACACCUUUGAUGUGUCUUAGUUUUGUUAUGUGACCUUGAAGAUUUUUGUCUUUCCGUUUCGGUUAACAUAUAGCAGAUAAAAGAUAGGCAGUUAUAUAAACAGGUAGUGUUACUGGUCUUUUUCUUUAAAAAAGGAUCAUUUUCAACAUAGAGUACUGAUGAAAAGUGUGUGUGUGUGUGUGUGUGUGUGUGCGUGCAUGUGUGCGUGUGUGUGUGUGUAUGUGUUAGAAAUAGUAACCAAAAUUGUCAAUUGUCAAUAUUAGAGCAAUUCUUUUUUUGGAAAAUUGCUAAGGAAUUGUUAUUAGAAAUGCUACAUUAUAAUAUUUUGACUGGUAAAACAUUUGUAAGCUGAUCUGUUUAACCUGCUUCUACUAAUAUGAUAUUGAGAGAAAGUAAUGAAGAUAGGAGACCAGGAAACUUAUUAGCAGAAUGAUGCAAAGAUUAAAGUUAGGAAAAAACUUCGAUCUUCUAAAAGGUGAUCUUUUAGGUGACAGUUUAACAAUUUAUUAUAUUUUAUGGUUUUACAUGAUUUCUGCAUUUUCCCUAUUCUACUUUAUUUCAUGGCAUGUGCAAAAUAAAAACGAACAUUUAGAACAAACUUCCAUUGUUCCGUGGAACUACUGGGAGGCCCAACUAACUGUAAUCUCCUCCCUCCCCUUUCCUAUCUCAAUAGAUGAUUAUUUAAACAGUGACUGAUUAGUAUGUGUUCAGUCCACUGCCUGCAACUUUGACAUGAUAUUGAAUCAUGAAAAUUGAUGUUUGUCAGUCAAGAGUCUGUGUGAUAUGGCAUAAAAAAACAUCAAUUUGGGAACCUUGCUGUAGCUGUGUGACUUUAGACAAGGUUUUAAAUGUCACAGAGCUUUAUUUCUUUCACCAAAAAUGACAGAAUUACCUCCCAAGGUUAUGAACAUUAAAUGUUUAUGCAAUGCAUUUACCUAUAGCAUGGCACGUGGAUGUAGUCAAUAGUUAGAGCAGUUGCUGUUGGCUCCACAGUCCUCAUAUUAAUGACCUGAGAUAAAUCAAGAAAAAGCUUUUAAUUGCUCUUGUCUUCCACUGGAUAAUCUCUGUUAUCCAAUUGGGUAGGUGAGAUGAUGAAAAUGAUUUUGGUGACUUGCAUACCAAUUACACAAAUUCAUUCAGAUUGUUUUGUUUUGUUCUGUUGUCACAUUUUUCCUUUGAUGAUCUAGAAUGGCUGGCUUGAUUCUAGAGUUAGCCAAUAAACUUGUGACUUGGGAUUUUAAAAAUCUGGUAGACUUAUACUAUAAGGGAGCAUUUUCCCUUAACAUUUGUUUUGACAUAGUUUGCCCUGGCAUUGUUUAGUUUUUUUGGAGUACCACUAAUUUCUCUCAUACCUGUGAGCAGGUAGUGUGAAUUUUCAAUUCUGGGAGAGGCUCUGUUGUAGCUAAACUGCCUUUAUUCAAGGAUGCCUUGCCUCAUUUUAUUCUUUUCUUGUCAAAGUCCAUCUUCUAGUAGCAGAAAUUCCCCCUUUAUGAUUUUAUUUAAAAUCUUUGAGUUAUACAGAAUCUGCAUGUUUAAAACACUUAUCAAACUGGUAGUGACUACUGUGAUGUUUAUUAAUCUACUUAGUUUGUAAAUAAACAUUUACACCUGGUUAAAAUUUACUGCACCUUCCACCCCCCGAAUCUACCUGUUUCUUUACCUCAUAACUAAUUCUGUUCACAUGUAGCUGCACACAGACAACCUACCAAUAUUAUUAAAGCUUUUAAAGUGGACAUUCCAGCAAAAAAAAAAA